AUUCUGCCCAAGCGGGGAAGGAUGAGAAGCUUCGACCAAGGUUCGACUCGAGCGCCAGCGAGAGAGCGUUGCCGCAGGCAACGACCCGAAGGG
rnacentral:sRNA from 1 species